UGGGGAAUAUUGCACAAUGGGCGCAAGCCUGAUGCAGCAACGCCGCGUGAACGAUGAAGGUUUUCGGAUCGUAAUGCUCUGUUGCAGGGGAAGAUAAUGACGGUACCCUGUGAGGAAGCCCCGGCUAACUACGUGCCAGCAGCCGCGGUAAUACGUAGGGGGCUAGCGUUAUCCGGAUUUACUGGGCGUAAAGGGUGCGUAGGUGGUCUUUCAAGUCGGUGGUUAAAGGCUACGGCUCAACCGUAGUUAGCCUCCGAAACUGGAAGACUUGAGUGCAGGAGAGGAAAGUGGAAUUCCCAGUGUAGCGGUGAAAUGCGUAGAUAUUGGGAGGAACACCAGUAGCGAAGGCGGCUUUCAGGACUGCAACAGACACUGAGGCACGAAAGCGUGGGUAGCAAACAGG
rnacentral:rRNA from 1 species